GUGAAUCCGUGGCGGCGGUUGAAGGUCUGAAGAAUGGCCGAGAGAUGAGGAAGAUGAAGGGAUUGUCAGGAUUGAAGGUUGUUGAGUGAGGGUUUUGAGAGUGAGUGAAGAGGGUUUUUGUGUGAGAAUCCAUUUUCAGAAUGGAGAGCGGAUUUGUGAGGUAAAGGAGAGGGAUUGUGAGUGGAGAUGUGAGUGAGAAGGAGCGUGAGGUGAGG
rnacentral:lncRNA from 1 species